CAUUUAUGGUAACUGAAGACCUUUCAUGUACACCUGUUCUGCCUGGAGAAGUGGAGCCAGGAUGGAGGCGGAACUGGGCUCUCCUUUGUCACAAGGGAGUCUCGGGAAGGGCAAACCAAGGCAGAAAGAAGUUCUUGCACAAUGGGACUCGGAUAUUGCUAGCUGCUUUUGUAGUUCAAAGACUCCUGUCAGAGCUUUGAUGUGGGGAAACCUGCUGCGUUGUCAUCUCUGGAUACUAAAAGUGCAUCACAGGGAAUGUAGGUUGGUGCUGAAUACCUAUUAGCAAAGACUACAAAUAAAAUCCUCAAGGAUUUACUUUUCUUUGUAAAAGA